GUAGCCGCAGAGUUCGAUGUAAAGCUCUUGAAACGCUUCUAGUUGUGGUAGAGGACGAUGAUGACAAUAAGGAAACAAUGGCUGAGGGCGACAAUGUACGCACAAUAGUCAAAUUCUUAUCAAAUGAACAAUCCAAAGAAAGAGAGGCAGCCAUUUCUUUGCUGUAUGAGCUAUCCAAAUCUAAAAAUUUGUGCGGAAAGAUCG
rnacentral:misc_RNA from 1 species